rnacentral:rRNA from 1 species
CACCAGACUCCUACGGGAGGCAGCAGUGGGGAAUACUGCACAAUGGGGGAAACCCUGAUGCAGCGACGCCGCGUGAGCGAUGAAGUAUUUCGGUAUGUAAAGCUCUAUCAGCAGGGAAGAAAAUGACGGUACCUGACUAAGAAGCCCCGGCUAACUACGUGCCAGCAGCCGCGGUAAUACGUAGGGGGCAAGCGUUAUCCGGAUUUACUGGGUGUAAAGGGAGCGUAGACGGUCCUGCAAGCCAGAUGUGAAAGCCCGGGGCUCAACCCCGGGACUGCAUUUGGAACUGUUAAGCUGGAGUGUCGGAGAGGCAGGCGGAAUUCCUAGUGUAGCGGUGAAAUGCGUAGAUAUUAGGAGGAACACCAGUGGCGAAGGCGGCCUGCUGGACGAUAACUGACGUUGAGGCUCGAAAGCGUGGGGAGCAAACAGGAUUAGAUACCCUCGUAAC